CUGCGACCCCAGGUCAGGC
rnacentral:rRNA from 1 species